AAGGCAUAAUGAGGAUGAAUUUAUGAUACAUUAUCUGAUCAUUCUGAUGAUCUAUAACCUCCUACUCAUUCUGA